rnacentral:rRNA from 1 species
AAAAACAUGUCCUUUUGAUUAAUUAUAUAAGGUCUGACCUGCCCAAUGAUUAGAUUUAAUGGCCGCGGUAUUUUAACCGUGCUAAGGUAGCGUAAUCAGUUGUCUCUUAAUUAGGGGCUUGUAUGAAAGGUUGGACGAGAUGUAUGCUUUCUUUAAUGUAGUAUUAUGAAUUUAAUUUCUUGGUCAAAAAGCUAAGAUUUUGUUGUGGGACGAGAAGACCCUAUAGAUCUUUAUAUAAAUACUUAUUUUUAGGUUUGGUGAAUUUUAUCUUUUGAUUUGUAAAUUAUAUUUUGUUGGGGUGACUAUAGAAUUCGAAUAACUUCUAUUUUUGUUUGUUUCAUUAAUUUAUGUUUUUGUGAUCCUGUUGUAUGGAUUAUAAGAUUAAGUUACCUUAGGGAUAACAGCGUAAUUUCCUCAGAAAGUUCUUAUUGAUGUGGGAGUUUGCGACCUCGAUGUUGGAUUAAAAUAAGUGGCGUGGUGCAGUAGCCCGCUAACUAGGUCUGUUCGACCUUUAAUUUUUUACAUGAUCUGAGU